rnacentral:rRNA from 1 species
GAUGAAUGCCGGCGGCGUGCCUAACACAUGCAAGUCGAGCGGCAGCGAGGGGUGCUUGCACCCUGUCGGCGAGCGGCGAACGGCUGAGUAACGCGUAGGAAUUUGCCCCAAAGUGAGGAAUAACUGCCCGAAAGGGUAGCUAAUGCCGCAUAUGGUCUUCGGAUUAAAGGAUUUAUCCGCUUUGGGAGAAGCCUGCGUUGGAUUAGGUUGUUGGUAGGGUAAUGGCCUACCAAGCCGACGAUCCAUAGCUGGUCUGAGAGGAUGAUCAGCCAGACUGGAACUGAGACACGGUCCAGACUCCUACGGGAGGCAGCAGUGAGGAAUCUUCCACAAUGGGCGAACGCCUGAUGGAGCAACGCCGCGUGAAGGAUGAAGGCCUUCGGGUUGUAAACUUCUUUUAUGAGUGAAGAAUAUGACGGUAACUCAUGAAUAAGCACCGGCUAACUACGUG